rnacentral:lncRNA from 1 species
GCCCAACCAAGCUUGAACUGGAGCAAGCUUUCCAUCAGGGAAAAUACUUUGCCAUAAUUGCAAAGAAGCUCAAGGGAUCUGCCUGAUCUGCUUGUAUACCUCCACACAGUCAUUUGCCAUUUUAUAUACCUCAGUUCAAUCUUUCUUUUGUCAUUUUCCAUUGGGUCAAAAUAACUGUGGGCUUUGUUUAAUUUUUUUAGCCAGUGGCUUUGAUAUAUAUCUUCUGUCG